AUGUAAGAGCAAUUGCAUUGGAUAUACAUAAAAAAAAGAUUAUUUAGGUAUAUGGAGAAGGUACUGUAAAUUCUCGGUAAUAACCCUAGCUGUCUCAUUCUCUCUCCUUCUCUUGCGUUGUCUCUUUUCCUCUCCUUUCCUUCUCUCUCCUCCAUCUCCAUGUCCUCUCCUCCCAAUCCCACCGCCACCAUCUCUCGUCUCUCCCUCUCCGAUUCCAAUCCAUCCAGCUCAAUCCCCCUUCCUCUGUGAAUCGCCAUCAUCGGAUUCGCAACUACGGCCAAUUACUCGCGGAAAUCCUAGUCUUCCAAGGCCACACCCUCCUCGCCUACUCUCGAUCUGAUCACUCCGUCUACGCCCGCCGCGGCGUCUUUUUCUUCACCACAGAUCUCCACGACCUCUGCGAACGCCAUCUCAUCCUCUCCACCGAGAAAGUCCUCAAAACCCUCCUGUUUCAGAGACCUGCAACCUCGAGCCCAACCUACUUUCAUGAAUGGUGGAUUGAUGAGAGGCACAUAGAUCGUCGGACUUGCGAGAAGGCGAGCUCCAGUCACAACUGCUGCGGCUAGGGUCUGCUGGGUCUGAUGGCUCUGCCUAUAUCUUCUCUACUCCUCCCCCAACUGUCUGAUAAGGAUCUGAAACUCACUUCUCUAUAUAAUUAAACACCACUGCCACUGUUGUUAUCACCUUUAAAAAUAACAUUUGUUUUGAUUGAUGGAUCUUGAAGAAAUAAAAAACAAACCCGACACAAAUCCUUAUUGGCCAAAACGUAUUGACUUCUUGUUGUUGUUGUGUCAUUACUUCUAAGGAGUUAAAGAUCUACAAAAAGAGUGUAGAAAGAGGUGAGGUGGAGACUACAAGAAAGACUCUUCAAAGAAAAGGAACCAGUUUUAAAGUAGUUGUGAUUGAAAUGAAGAGUAUAGAAAGAACUCAAGUUGAUGAUGAGUUCAUGCUCUCCUAUACAUUGAAUACCAUGACUUGUACACUAUUGAGCAAGAGGAGAAGAAUGUAAAUUGGUUUUGCCUCAUAUAACCAAUUACCUAAAUAAAAAGAUUUGUACAUGGA